rnacentral:rRNA from 1 species
AUGAACGCUGGCGGCGUGCCUAAUACAUGCAAGUCGAGCGAACGGACGAGAAGCUUGCUUCUCUGAUGUUAGCGGCGGACGGGUGAGUAACACGUGGAUAACCUACCUAUAAGACUGGGAUAACUUCGGGAAACCGUAGCUAAUACCGGAUAAUAUUUUGAACCGCAUGGUUCAAAAGUGAAAGACGGUCUUGCUGUCACUUAUAGAUGGAUCCGCGCUGCAUUAGCUAGUUGGUAAGGUAACGGCUUACCAAGGCAACGAUGCAUAGCCGACCUGAGAGGGGGAGGGCCACCACGGGAACGGGAACCGGGCCCAGACUCCAGCGGGAGGAAGAAGUAGGAAUUCUUCCGCAGGGGGGGAAGCCGUGAGGGAACACCGCGGGGGGAGUGAUAAGGGUCUUGGGUCGGAAAAACUUUUUUAUUGGGAAAAAAAAUAUGGGAAAGUAAUUGCGCACUUCUGGAGGGACCCAAACCAGAAAGCCACGCCAACCUACGGC